GCUAUGUCUGUGUAGCAAUUAACUAUCCCCAGUGAUGGCACUCUUAAGCUUAGUCCUGCUCUGGGAAGACUGCCUUCAAAAGGGAAGUAAUGUAGCCACAGCUGCAUGGGCUGGCUAAUUAGCUUGAGGGAGAGCUAAGUGGCUCUUACACUUAGCAGUGCUAGUUAACCUGCCGCAAGUGUUGUUUUAGCAUUAUGAGAUGGGUCACCUGGAGCAGCAUGAUGUGCUUGGGGGCACAUGGGUAUAGCCUCAGUGCAACAUAGCCUCAGGGCAAGAAUGAUCUUUUCUUUGCAUUCAUGAUACAUUCUAAGCUAUUCCUGUCUUUUCAAGGUGCAACACUAAAAACUAACUUCCCAUUAAACAAAAGGAACCAUGACAAAAAAAAGUCCAGGGGCAGGACACUGCUUGCCAGACCUGAUGUCCAGGAUAUGCCACCUCCUGGGUGAUCUUUAGAAAACUUUCAUGGACAGAACUUGCCAAGGGUGGCAAACAGCCCUGUAAUGAAUGAAGAGAGUGAAGAGGAAAGUGAAAUAUGUUCAGAUUUGCUUUAAUUUUUUUUUUUUACAUUUUGUAUAUACUGUAUAUUAUUAAAUUGCAGCAUUUUCAAUAAAGUGUUUUAUUUUUGCUCUU